rnacentral:lncRNA from 1 species
UGUGAGCCCUGUGAGUCCAGUCAGACCACAACUCCAGGUGAAGGGCGCUGCGCCCUCCACUGAGAAAAAGUUGGAGGGCGCUGCGCCCUCCAACCUCUACAUUGGGAAAAAGUAUGAUAGCUUAUCUUAUCAUGAUGGUAAGGCCGUCUAUAUUUACUGUGUAUGUGCGUGUUGUAAUGGCUGUUCGCUCAAAGUUUAGUCCAAUGGGGGAGAGUGUCCGCGGGGGUCCUUCGGUCAUGCUUGCGGGGCCUUCCUGGCUUUGUUCUCGGUAACCUCGGCGAGCGAGUCCUUGGUAUCGUUGGCCUGCCGAUAUGGAAAACCCAAAUGUGAGGCCUGAUGCUGUUGUGGAUAAUCUCAGCUGUUUUGUUGAAAUGCUGUGCUGACAAAUACAAAAACAUAAAAUUGUAUAUGAAUUUAUAAUGUAGUACUGAGAUUGGAUGAGAAAGACAAUUUUAUGAGGAAGCUGAUUUAAUCACUUUACUCUUUGACAAUCUCAGUGAGUUAAAAUUGUUUUUACCUGAGUGCAUUCAUGAAUGUAUGUGGUUAUUUAUUCUAUGAAAAAAAAAUCAAGUUUUCAUAUUAAAUUUCAAAUAAAUAUUAGGAGAUCUGUUAAUCUUUAAAAUUUUUUAGUGGAAUAUGUAAAUAAUGUUUCAUGUGUUUUACAUUAAGAUCUGUAAAAUUAAUUAUUGAAAUAUAAAAUUAUCAUUAUUAAAAAUUAUAUAAAAACAUUAUUAUAAGUACUUAUAUGUAAUAUAAUAAUAAAUAUAUGUAUUUUUAACAGUAAUAGGUAAUAUUAACAAUAAUGUAAUAACAAUUAUAUAUAUUAUUAACAAUAAAAGGUAAUAUUAAUAACAGAAAAUCUGUAACAAAAAUUAUAAACAAUGUUAUAUUGGGUUGGCAAGAAUAUAAUUUUGGUUUGCAUGAAUAGGUAGCGCUGUAUUCAUUUUGUUGUUCUUCUGACAAUCUUAUAAUUUUUUUUCUUUUGAGAUUUGGCAGCUGACACUUUUAGGUUGCUAUUGAAACAAAAUCCAUGUAUUUUAUUUGAAACUAUUAGUAUACGGUCAGUUUUAACACCUGGUGCAGAAAUAAACAUUUUUAAAAAUAUUUUACUUCUUACUUUCUUGUACAAAGUACAGGAAGUAUUGUAAUCACAAAAAUGUCAGGUAUCAUAUUUCAAUGACAAAUCCAUUUUGGCCGCUCUUGAAUACAUUUGAACCAUGUUUUUGCAUGACAUCUGUACAUAUUGAUAGAAUAAAAAAAACUUUUUAUCCAAAAUAUAUUGUAAAAUGGGUUUAAAAUGUAUUCAGCAGACAUUAUUUCAUGACGCCUGUAUGUACGUAACUCGCACAACUCAAAAACAAAUAGCCUCAGAAUGUUGAAAUUUUGUAUAUCGAACUGCUAUAACAUGUAGUUGUGCUCUUCUCUUUCUGGUUGCAAUCGGCCACACCAAAAGUAUAUAUACUGAAAAAUCGAAACUCUCCAAAAUUUGUCUUCUUGACCACUGGCCAAAUUGCUUGUUUUUGCAUAGAAACUAAUUUUAAUUGUAAAAAUUGUUAUUUUUUAACUGUGCUGGGGGCUUUGUGUUGACGAUGUUUUGAGUUUUUGUGUAUUUUUGCCUUGCCAUGAAGUAAGAAUUGAAUUAAUUGAAUCAGAAAUACAUCUCUAAUGAAAUAAGGAAAUAAGUUUAAAUGAAAUGCAGCAAAAAGUGUGCAUAAUUUAAUAGGCCAUGCAAGGAAGUUGUGGUGUCCACAUCAGAUUUUUUAUUUUCAUACAGGCAAGAAAGUGACUGAGCUUCAUAAAGAAAUAUGUGAAGUUUAUGGUGUUGAUUGCUUUACAGAUUGCAUGUGUCAAAAUUGGUUUAAAAAUUUUUGUUCUGAAGAUUUUUGACUUGACGAUGACUUAAUGUUCUGACUGACGUUCUGAAGUUUGAUGAUGACAAAAUUAAUCGUAAUUGAAUCAAACUGUUAUAUAAUUUUGUGACAGAUAGCAGAGAGGUUAAAUGUAUCAUGGAAAACAAUUGUAAAUCACAUAAAAUGUUUUAAAAUCGUUAAAAAGCUCAAUUUUUUGGAUUCUUUAUUAAUUGAAAGAUAUUUAGUUAAUACAAUGAAUCUGUAUUUGAAAUAUGCAUGUAUGAAUGAAUCUGUAUUGCAUAAUGCAUUUCACCCCUUUUUAAAAUGAAUUAUCACUGAUGAUAAAAAGUGGAUUAUCUACAAUAACAUUAAUUGGAAAAGACCAUGGUUCAAGCAUGAUGAAUCGGCACAAAUCAUAUCGAAAUCUAAAUUGCAUGAGAAAAAGAUCAUGCUGUGAAUUUGUUGGGACUAUAAAAGUAUUGUGUAUUUUGAGCUGCUUUCAAGCAACCAAAUGAUCAUCUCAGAUGUUUUAUGCUGACAUCUUAUGAAAUCGGAUUAAGUAAUCAAAGAGAAAGAAACCAGAAUAGGCAAACUGCAAUGGAAUCAUGUUGCACCGUGACCAUGUGGGGCCUCAUACAUCUUUAGCAACAUGUACAGAAUUAUUGGAAUUUGGUUGGAAAAUGAUAUUGUAUCUUCCUUAUAGCACCAGCUUGCACCAUCAGAUUAUCAUUUAUUUCAAAGUUUACAAAGCUUUGUAAAUCGUCAAAAAUUCAGCAAUAAUGAUGACCUCAAAUCGCACUUGGUUGAGUUUUUUGCUGAUAAAGACCAGAAAUUCAGUGAGUGCAGAAAUCAUGAAGUAACCAAAAAAGAUGGCAAAAGCUCAUUGAACAGAAUGGAAGAUAUUUUUAUAUAGAAAAAAUUAAGUUUUACUUCAUACUAAAAAACCAGAAUUACUUUCUUGCCAACCUGAUAUAAUGAUAAAAUAUUCCUUAUUGUAGUAUGAUUAUAUGAUAACAUUAUGCUAAAAUAAAGCUUGGAUUGUUUAAUGUGACAAAAAAAAAACUGUUUCUUUUCUUUUUUCCUUUGAAAGGUAUUGUUUUUACAUUAGAAUCAUAACUGAAAUUUAUAAAUUGAUUACUGAAAUGUUUUCUUUUUUUUAUUAAAUAUUAGGUGAAGUAGUUAGCAUUUAAUUAUGUGUUACCUAUUCCAAUUUCCUUUUCUGUCCCUUCCUUUGGUUUUAUUGCCUAUUUUAUGUUAUUCUAAACAUUGAUGGCAUCAAUAUUUCUCAUUCCUACACAUAUUUAUAUUUCAUUUUUGAUGAAUGUGAAAGAAAAAACAAAAUUGUUUGUAUGGUUUGUAAAUACUAUAAGCUGUUUUACUAGAAUGAAAAUGAAGAUAUUGGUGCUUAAUAAAAUGUGUUACAGUUAAAUGAAAUUAAGUGGAAGAAAGCUACAUCACUGCAUCACUAUUGAACUGCCAUCAUUGAACUUAAUGCUAGGACAUAGCACUGAAGACACAAUUUUAACAUUUCAAGUUAUAUUAAAUAUUUUUACUUGAAGUUGUUUUUGAGUGUAUGUUUAUUACAUUUGAAAUUUUUGAUCAUGUAAGUUAUUUAUUAGAACUAUUAUUAUUGUUAUAUAAAUAAAAAUAUUUAUUAAAAUAAGGAGA